UUGCUAGAAAUCACUUCAGUCAAGAAACCAAAAAAAUGGAGACCUAACGAAGAUAAAGAUACAUUAGAGUGCAAUAUCAAAGACAACAACUACAAACUUGUGUCUGUACAAUGGAAGAUCAUCAACAAGKRUAAUAUACCAGUGGACUUUCUUGGCAAGCCAAAGUAUGAAGAGAUUCGAAAUGACUCUGGGAAGCUCGUUGGUACUCGCCUUGUUUUAUCGAAUGUCACUCCACACAACGCAAGACUGGAUUACGUUUGCGUAGCAGCCAACGUUAACGGAGACACGCGCAAGACUGUGAACGUUCCUUGGCCUUAUCGAGACUGAUGUUGUUACCCGCAAAAAAAUCCUAGAAGAUGCCAGAUUAAUAGCAAU